ensembl:lncRNA
GGAAGGGGCUCCAAGGAGCAAAGAAUGGCGGCGAGGCGCUGCCGGGAGCAGCAGAAGGCAGCGAGGAGAAGCCGUGAAGCUGCAGAGCGGCGGAGUUGUCUUUUUUCCUUCGCAGGCUUGAAUCUUCCUUCCGCCUUGCUGUGCUGUGGGGAGCAGCUGGAGGCGAUUCUCUUGCAUGAGCGAGGGGUGCAGCCUGGUUCCACCCGGCCCUGAGCUCACGGAAGGGCUGGCUGCCCGCAGGGAAGGAGCUCUGCUUGAGGUCUGCUCCUGGGUGGGCUUUCGUGUGCCCUGUUCCUCAGGAAGGGGUAAGCAGUGCUGGGGUUAUUUGCUAGAUGGAGUGCGUUUGUGUUUCUUGGCUUCCUGAAAGCUGUGUCUGUCUUUUUCACUGCCGGCUGGAGAGACUCGGGGGAGAAAGCGUUGUGCUUGAUGGCACGGUUUCCUUGGGCAAAGGAUGCUUUGGCAGCAGAGGUUUGCUGUCAGGAGGCAUGAAAGCACUGAAGCCAAUGCUGCCGUGCCCUGGGCCCAGAGACAUCAGCUCCCAGCACGUCCCUGGCGGUGGAUGUGUGCAAGCUCUGUGUCUGCCAGUGGUUGCUCCAAAGGCUUUGUGGUCAGCUGUGCGUGGCUGUUUUGCUCUUGAGGGCGUGGGAACAGAGGGCAACACGCUGAUGGGAGUGAUGGUGUCCUGCUCAGCAAUGGAUGUGCUGGGUGGCAGAAGAGGAUUCUUGGCCGAGCGUGGAAAAUCUCUCUGCUCCUUCCUGAAGGACACAGUAUUCCACUUGGAAAGGGCCUCCAAGGAUCCCUGGUAUCCUCUGAGAGCUCUGAGCUGCCACACCAAUUUGAAGCUGACUUCAUUUCUGGUCUUCCCCUUCAGCAGAA